rnacentral:rRNA from 1 species
GACGAACGCUGGCGGCGCGCUUAACACAUGCAAGUCGAACGGAAAGGCCUGCUUUCCCUUGUGGAUUGCGGGUACUCGAGUGGCGAACGGGUGAGUAACACGUGAGUGAUCUGCCCCCAACUUGGGUAUAAGCCUGGGAAACUGGGUCUAAUUCCCGAUAGGACUGCAGGGUGGUGCCUGUGGUGGCAAACGAUUUUCUAGUGGUUGGGGAUGAGCUCGCGGCCUAUCAGCUUGUUGGUGGGGUAAUGGCCUACCAAGGCGGCGACGGGUAGCCGGCCUGGGAGGGUGGACGGCCACAGUGGGACUGAGAUACGGCCCAGAAUACUACGGGAGGCAGCAGUGGGGAAUAAUGCACAAUGGGCGGAAGCCUGAUGCAGCGACGCCGCGUGGGGGAUGACGGGCUUCGGGUUGUAAACUCCUUUCGACCGCGAGGAAGCCACCUGGUUGGAAGGGUGGUGACGGUAGUGGUAGAAGAAGCACCGGCUAACUACGUG